rnacentral:rRNA from 1 species
AAGACCUUGCGCUUUUGGAGCGGCCGAUGUCUGAUUAGCUUGUUGGUGAGGUAAAGGCUUACCAAGGCUUCGAUCAGUAGCUGGUCUGAGAGGACGGCCAGCCACACUGGGACUGAGACACGGCCCAGACUCCUACGGGAGGCAGCAGUGGGGAAUUUUGGCCAAUGGGGGCAACCCUGAUCCAGCCAUGCCGCGUGAGUGAAGAAGGCCUUCGGGUUGUAAAGCUCUUUCAGCCGGAACGAAACGGUUACGGUUAAUACCCGUAACUACUGACGGUACCGGAAGAAGAAGCACCGGCUAACUACGUGCCAGCAGCCGCGGUAAUACGUAGGGUGCAAGCGUUAAUCGGAAUUACUGGGCGUAAAGCGUGCGCAGGUGGUUUUGUAAGUCAGAUGUGAAAUCCCCGGGCUUAACCUGGGAACU